rnacentral:snRNA from 1 species
AUACUCUAAUUCCAUUCAUACAUAUCUUUUGCCUUUUAGUGAAGAUUUCUGAGGAACACUUAAUGAGUUUCAACCUUGUUUUGUGAAGCUUCAUGCCAGUGAAACU